rnacentral:rRNA from 1 species
CUGGGUGGCGAUACUGAGGAGGAAACACCCGGUCCCAUUCCGAACCCGGAAGUUAAGCUCCUCAAGGCCGAUGAUACUGCCUCCGCACGGGGGUGGGAAAGUAGGUAGCUGCCCUGA